rnacentral:rRNA from 1 species
GACGAACGCUGGCGGCGUGCUUAACACAUGCAAGUCAAACGGUAAGGCCCUUCGGGGUACACGAGUGGCGAACGGGUGAGUAACACGUGGGUGAUCUGCCCUGCACUUCGGGAUAAGCCUGGGAAACUGGGUCUAAUACCGGAUAGGACCACUGCCUGCAUGGGUGGUGGUGGAAAGCUUUUGCGGUGUGGGAUGGGCCCGCGGCCUAUCAGCUUGUUGGUGGGGUGAUGGCCUACCAAGGCGACGACGGGUAGCCGGCCUGAGAGGGUGACCGGCCACACUGGGACUGAGAUACGGCCCAGACUCCUACGGGAGGCAGCAGUGGGGAAUAUUGCACAAUGGGCGCAAUCCUGAUGCAGCGACGCCGCGUGAGGGAUGACGGCCUUCGGGUUGUAAACCUCUUUCAGCACCGACGAAGCGCAAGUGACGGUAGGUGCAGAAGAAGGACCGGCCAACUACGUGCCAGCCGCCGCAGUAA